AGAAAAGUGGCACAUUGUUGGCUUUGCUAGCAAUGCUCAUUGGCUUGUGGAUCACAAGGCAGACAUGUAGUGCUGUAAUUGUGCCAACCUGAACACUGAUGGUACCUGCUGUAGAAUGAGUCAUGUGGACAAGAAAACGUACACUCCUCGACACUUCACCUUGCGCAGCCAAAAUGGACAAUCGGAGGUAUUUAAGGAGGCCCCAGCAGCCAAGCAAGUGAACAGACAGUUUGAAGUGAUCAGGCUCUGUUUCUCAUGCACAGUAUGUAUUGCCCACAUUGAAUGUCUCCUAACAUGAUUUUUACAUUUGUUUAAUUUGCAAGAAAUGGUUACAAAGUUUAAUGGCCAUGAUUUAAGUCCAAAUAUUGUUGAUUGUCUUCAUAAGCUGCUCCUGUGCGUCACAAUUGUGGAAGAGUACAGCUCCCAAUACACAUUCAUUGCAUCGAGAAAAAGGCCUCAAAAUUACUCUUAUUGCACAUAACAGGCAAUAAGUAGAUUCUGCUAGUAUAUGUUACAAAAACCCAUGUCAUCAUGUCUGAUUUUAAUCACCAUCUGCUGCUAUGAGAGCACGGUCAGACUGAAUAAUGCAGUGAAACGAAAUGGCAAUUCUGUCUGAGUAUCAGGCUAGCAAUACAUUGAGUGGAGUAUGUAUGUGCAGUCAGCUCACACUGCAUACUAGUAAUACAACAACUAUUAUAAUAAUUGAUUAAUCGGUUUGAAACGUUUUUCGUGAUUAAAACAAGAUUUCCGAUUGUUUAACCUUCUUAAGUGUAAAUAUUUUCUUAAUUUCUUUGCUCCGGAUAACAAAGAAAUCAUUGAAAGUUAAUAAUUUUGGUUUGUGGACAAAACAAGACAUUUGAGAACAUCUUCAUUUCCA